GUUCAAAGCACUUACCUUUGAUUAGAAGUUGACUGGUUUUGUCCGCAAUACAGUCUUUAUUUAUACCGAUGGAAGAAUUGUACUCUAAUGGCCAUUGCAUUGCACGCUACUAUGUUUCUCUAAAAAUAAGACCCUGUCUUAUAUAUUUUUUUUGAACCCUGAAAUAAGCACUUGGCCUUAUUUUCGGGGAGGUCUUAUUAUUUCGGGGCACAUGGAGCAAGACGGGGCUGCUCUUGCCAUCUUACCUGAUUUCCAGCUGUCACCCUAACCCUAACCAGAGGAAAUGGGCUGCAUAAACAGUGGGAUAGAAUCAAGAUCACGUGAAGUGUUAAUACCACUUUAUAAUGCCUUGGUAAGGCCAUACUUGGAAUAUUGCAUUCAGUUUUGGUCACCACAAUGUAAAAAGGAUGUUGAGACUCUAGAAAGAGUGCAGAGAAGAGCAACGAAGAUGAUUAGGGGACUGGAGGCUAAAACAUAUGAAGAACGGUUGCAGGAACUGGGUAUGCCUAGUUAAUGAAAAGAAGGACUAGGGGAGACAUGAUAGCAGUGUUCCAAUAUCUCAGGGGUUGCCACAGAGCACCUGAGGGUAGAACAAGAAGCAAUGGGUGGAAACUAAUCAAGGAGAGAAGCAACCUAGAACUAAGGAGAAAUUUCCUGACAGUUAGAACAAUUAAUCAGUGGAACAACUUGCCUGCAGAAGUUGCAAAUGCUCCAACACUGGAAAUUUUUAAGAAAAUGUUGGAUAGCCAUUUGACUCAAAUGGUGUAGGGUUUCCUGCCUGGGCAGGGGGUUGGACUAGAAGACCUCCAAGGUCCCUUCCAAUUCUGAUAUUAUUAUUAUUAUUAAAUAGCGGGAACCAGCUGUGCAUGCAGUUAAAUACUUUCGGGGAGGGCUUAUUUUCGGGGAGGGGGGGCUUAUUUUAGCACAUGCACUCAAAAGUCCGAUUGGGCUUAUUAUGCAUUCAGAUGAUAAACAAAAGAUUUUAGGGGUAGUCCUUGACUUGCAACAGUUCGUUUAAUGACCAUUUGAAGUUACAACAGCGCUGAAAAUGAUUUAUAUCCAUUUUUUACACUUAUGGCCAGACUUUGUCAACCAAGAUGAUCAAGGGACUGGAGGCUAAAACACAUGAAGAAUGGUUGCAGGAACCGGUUCCUUUUUCGGGAGAAGGACACAGGCCCAAUCCUUGGAGGAUUCAAAUCAUGUGGGGUAAUUACUUUUGCCUCCCAGGGAUGGUACCUUCUUGUUAAGAAUGUCAGCUAUACUGACAGCUAAUGGAAUUGACAGGCUCCAAACUCCAUGCAAUUCAUCAUUAUUAAAGUCAUCCCAGCUUGAACAAAGAUGAAAUUAAUACAUCAUCAUAGGAGGACCUUCAAUUUCAGAUGAAGCCAAUCAGAUGAGGGGAAAAAAAUCAUCCGGCAAAUCUUUAAACACAUAACAAGAGGUGACAAAUCAAAUGGGAAUUAAUGUGAAGAAAACAUACAAAAAAAAUGCUUGAUUGGAUUUAAGCAGAAUUGACAUUACUAGGCAAAUUAACUUGGUCCUUUGUUUUUUAACCUGUGGGGGAAAAGCAUUCGCUAAAAGAGCUAUAAAAAGGCACUUUUAUUUAUAAUCUAGUAUCAACUUCCAAUUUAAGCAUAUUUUUAGUUGAACAGUUGAUCAGAAGGUGGGUCUAUCUUUGCCAGGAACCAACGUUCUACUGCCCAUUAAAUAUCUCACCACCUUGGAACAGCAUAACUACACCAAGGCACUUCUAGAGUUCAGAGUUGUUUGUUUGUUUGUUUGUUUGUUUGUUUGUUUGUUUG